CGGCGGGGUGGGGUUUCGCUUCGGCCCGUCCUCUCAGGAGGUGCCGUCGGCCGCGGGCCGUGGAGCGCGGGCAAGAGCCCGUGCCGCUCUCCUCCUGCUCCGCGGGGACGUCUGCAGGAAAGCUCGCUUCAUGGAAAGGACUGCCAGGGAAAGCGGCUUCGUUUUAUCCCGCGGCCAGGAAAACACAUCGCGGCCCGGCAGUGGAGUCGCCGGCCUCGGCUGAGGCCUUCCCGCCCAGUCCUGGCGGACCGCGGCGGAACUUCGAGCAGGGGCGAUGAUGGUGCCUCCUUCUGAUCUUCUUUUCUGAGAAAAUCUCCUCUCAAAGCCCCCCCUGAAGCACAGAGAACAGCACAUCCUCGGGCUGCGUCCUUCCAGCGUGAAGUCGUGCAGAUUAAUGGCAGUGCAAAAUGAAGUCUGGGAUGGUUUCAGUCCAGGUUUGUCAGCUCACAAUGCAUGUAUUUAUGAGAAAGGAAGGUGAGAGCUGCUACGCAACGGAAGCUCUUGGACAAGGCUCAAUCAGAACUUUCCUAAAGGAAUUUUCUUUCUCAGUGCGUAGCUAACAAAUGGCAAUGAAAACUCAGCCCUACAGUUCUUCUGUUACUCAGAGGUAAUAUUUUACUUAAGAACCACCAGCUAUUCUAUCAUUACCAUAGUAAUUGUAAUCUGUUAGUCAUUCUGCAUUUCAUAGCAGUAACAAAGAGUUCUCAACUUGGUUUAUGUGCAGUGUGACUUCUUGAGAUGGAUAAGCUUUACCUGGGCAGUAUGGUAUUUUAUGUCUGGAAGUAACAUCACAGGUGAGCAGUUCCUGUGCUAGCUGGUAGCUCCGCUCUGUUAAGUAUAGCUCAGCUUCCUAAAAACCAUAAUUGUGAGUUUGUGGAGGCAAGCAUGUGAAUAAAAAAAUAAUCAUACUGGGAUUUUUGUUGAAGAAAAGCAUAAAUGAACUCCUGGCAUGGAUCUGAGGUUUGUGACUAAUUUCUUCAGGAUGGCAAUCUCACUUUGUGUUUGGAGUAGAUUUUUUUCUGAAGCUCUUGUAGAUUUUAGAAAAACUGAAUUGUACGUAGUAAGGAUCAUAACAAUGGUUGGGAUUAUGAUCUCUCACUUGGAAACUUCUGUAAAAUAAAUAGGAAAGAGAAAAGACUACAAAAGAAUUGAUUGGACAUAAAUUUAAUAAAUGUCUCACUAUUACAAAUUGGAGAACAUUUUACAAAGAUAAAAAUCUUAGAUAUGAAUAUAAAAAUAUAGAAAAAAGCCAUUAGUUAAGUAAACAAACAAAAGUAGCAGGAAGAAGAAAGUGAUUAUUUUAUGUGAAAUACGGAAAACAGCAGUAAGGCAGGAGGAGAAAACACUGCUUUCUGAAGGGCCAUCCACGUUCAUUAUGGUGAAUGAAGGUGCA